UACGAAGGGGGCUAGCGUUGUUCGGAAUUACUGGGCGUAAAGCGCGCGUAGGCGGACCUGCAAGUCGGGGGUGAAAGCCCGAGGCUCAACCUCGGAACUGCCUUCGAUACUGCGGGUCUCGAGUCCGGGAGAGGUGAGUGGAAUUCCUAGUGUAGAGGUGAAAUUCGUAGAUAUUAGGAAGAACACCAGUGGCGAAGGCGGCUCACUGGCCCGGUACUGACGCUGAGGCGCGAAAGCGUGGGGAGCAAACGGG
rnacentral:rRNA from 1 species